rnacentral:rRNA from 1 species
UACGAAGGGGGCUAGCGUUGCUCGGAAUCACUGGGCGUAAAGGGUGCGUAGGCGGGUUUUAAGUCAGAGGUGAAAUCCUGGAGCUCAACUCCAGAACUGCCUUCGAUACUGGAAGACUUGAGUCCGGGAGAGGUGAGUGGAACUGCGAGUGUAGAGGUGAAAUUCGUAGAUAUUCGCAAGAACACCAGUGGCGAAGGCGGCUCGACUGGCC